GGCUCGGUCUUCAAGAUAAGUUUCAGAGCUUUGAAAAAUAAUUCCUCGAAUGCUGCUACCGACGCCGACAACUUCACUCCCGCAGUGCUGAUAAUAGAAUGUACCUUUACGAUACACGAUACACAUACCCCCACUCACGCAAAGCGUAGAGUCCCACGAAAUGAUCUGAAGCAAAGCAGAGUAACAAGAGCGAAGAGCGACAACGUUAUUACCAUAACGGAAAAUCCCCUAAAAAAAUCUCCCCUAUCUUUUUUGUGCUACACAUGACGACGCCCCCAAUACAUUCAAAAAAACUUAUCCUCGAAAAUUUGUUUACAUUUUGCAUGACUAUCCUCGAAAAUUUUAACGAAGCAUAAAGUUUUCGAGGAUAGUGAACUUUUGUUUGUUUACAUUCGAUGAACAUGGUUCCGGUUCAUUUUAUGACAGGGUUCAUUCAAAAUGUAAACAAACAGAAUCAAAACAAAAACAAAUUAUCCUCGAAAUAAUUUGGAAUCUCGUAAAUCUUUUCGAGGAUAUUUCGUUAACGAAUGUACUUACCAAAACAUUUACGAAAACAGGGCGAACAGACAACUUGGGUAUCCUCCAAAAAUCUAUGUUUCGAUAAAUUUUUUGAGGAUAGCCAUGCAAAAUGUAAACAAAUAUUCGAGGAUAAGUUUUUGUCAAUGUAUUGUGUAUUAUCGUGUCUCGUCAUUUGUAUUUGCUCUUUUCUCUCUUGAUUUUGCUUUGCUUCUCUACAUGUCCGUGGACUCUUCGCGUUGUGUGGUGCUAUGUUUGUGUGUAACAACGGAAGGUUGCAGGGGCGGGCGUCGAGUGUGUUGUUUAUCAGCUGUGAUCUGUGCGUGUGAAACUUUUUCGUUGUGCUGAAACGGGUGAGUGAGAGUAAGAUUAGAAACAGAAUGCCGUGUGCAUGUAUACCACAGCCUGAAGACUGAACCACCAGACUUGCUGAGAGCAGGAAUGAUGUACACGUAAUAUAAAUUGGAGCGUGGUACGCUUGCGCGUCAUGGUGUAGUUAAGAAGAAAAAAAGAAGCAGUGCUACAGUCGUACUAGACUCUGGAAUGGGUUGUAUCGGUUGAACUUUUCUUAUUUUUCAGAUUCAAAAAUCUGUUUGCUCUACAAAGUCGAUGAGUGCAUCUAAUCAGUUCUGCAGCGCCAUGGUGAACGUUGGGAGGUGUUGGCACGGAAGACGAAGCGAGAAAGGGUUCACGACAACUAUGCGGUGAGGACAUCAACGGAUUGUGCAUUUACAGUUAGCGGGUGAGCCCACGCUGUACCUCGUAGGAGAACCUGGCCAUGGGUAUCGGAGAAUGCAUAUCGUAUGCCAGGAUCGUGCUUGGCCUUGAACACUGACUCUGCUCGAUCACGGGUUCCAAAUUGGUCAUUACGUUACCGGCGGCUUGCCAGCAAUCAGCAUUGGGUGUUCUUUUUCCGUUCAGUUCUUCCUACCGUCCUUCUGUGUAUAAAGUGCCUUCCAUUAACAUCUCCCGACAACAAGUUGGAGUUGCUUCUAGCACGGAUUAUGAUGGUGCUGUUGCUGAAGAGGAAUGUUGUGUUGCCUGGUUGCACUGGACAGGAUGGUUCACACAGUGUAGUCGAUCUCCUGUUGGUGUCGAUUGUUCCCUUCGAGCCGGAGGCCCAUCCCGACCGCUCAGUGCGAUAGUGUUAGGUGCUAGAAAUACAAGAUGUAAAUAUAAAAUGAUUACUUUACAUGUUAAUACAGAAGAGGUGAUUAUAUAGGUUAUAGAA